GACGAACGCUGGCGGCGUGCUUAACACAUGCAAGUCGAGCGGUAAGGCCCUUCGGGGUACACGAGCGGCGAACGGGUGAGUAACACGUGAGCAACCUGCCCCUGACUCCGGGAUAAGCGGUGGAAACGCCGUCUAAUACCGGAUACGACCCGCCACCUCAUGGUGGAGGGUGGAAAGUUUUAUCGGUCAGGGAUGGGCUCGCGGCCUAUCAGCUUGUUGGUGGGGUAACGGCCUACCAAGGCGAUUACGGGUAGCCGGCCUGAGAGGGCGACCGGCCACACUGGGACUGAGACACGGCCCAGACUCCUGCGGGAGGCAGCAGUGGGGAAUAUUGCACAAUGGGCGAAAGCCUGAUGCAGCGACGCCGCGUGGGGGAUGACGGCCUUCGGGUUGUAAACCUCUUUUACCACCAACGCAGGCUCCACGUUCUCGUGGGGUUGACGGUAGGUGGGGAAUAAGGACCGGCUAACUACGUGCCAGCCGCCGCAGUAAAAC
rnacentral:rRNA from 1 species